AAUCUUGGUCAAUGGGGGCAACCCUGAUCCAGCCAUGCCGCGUGUGUGAAGAUGGUCUUCGGAUUGUAAAGCACUUUAAUUUGGGAGGAAGGGCUCAGGUUAAUACCCUGAAGUUUUGACGUUACCAACAGAUUAAGCACCGGAUAACUAUGUGCCAUCAGCCGCGGUAAUACAGAGGGUGCAAGCGUUAAUCGUAAUUUCUGGGCGUAAAGCGUGCGUAGGUAGUUCAGUAAGAUGGGUGUGAAAUCCCCGGGCUUAACCUGGGAACUGCUUUCAUAACUGCUGAGCUAGAGUACGGUAGAGGGUAGUGGAAUUUCCUGUGUAGCGGUGAAAUGCGUAGAUAUAGGAAGGAACACCAGUGGCGAAGGCGACUACCUGGACUGAUACUGACACUGAGGUGCGAAAGCGUGGGGAGCAAA
rnacentral:rRNA from 1 species